rnacentral:rRNA from 1 species
GAACGAAGCCUUCGGGCUUAGUGGCGCACGGGUGCGUAACGCGUGGGAAUCUGCCCUUGGGUUCGGAAUAACAGUUAGAAAUGACUGCUAAUACCGGAUGAUGUCUUCGGACCAAAGAUUUAUCGCCCAAGGAUGAGCCCGCGUAGGAUUAGGUAGUUGGUGGGGUAAAGGCCUACCAAGCCGACGAUCCUUAGCUGGUCUGAGAGGAUGAUCAGCCACACUGGGACUGAGACACGGCCCAGACUCCUACGGGAGGCAGCAGUGGGGAAUAUUGGACAAUGGGGGAAACCCUGAUCCAGCAAUGCCGCGUGAGUGAUGAAGGCCUUAGGGUCGUAAAGCUCUUUUACCCGGGAUGAUAAUGACAGUACCGGGAGAAUAAGCUCCGGCUAACUCCGUGCCAGCAGCCGCGGUAAUACGGAGGGAGCUAGCGUUGUUCGGAAUUACUGGGCGUAAAGCGCGCGUAGGCGGUUAUUCAAGUCAGAGGUGAAAGCCCGGGGCUCAACCCCGGAACUGCCUUUGAAACUAGAUGACUAGAAUCUUGGAGAGGUCAGUGGAAUUCCGAGUGUAGAGGUGAAAUUCGUAGAUCUUCGGAAGA